rnacentral:rRNA from 1 species
GACGAACGCUGGCGGCGUGCUUAACACAUGCAAGUCGAACGAAGUGGCCAACGGGUGAGUAACGAGUAAUCAACCUGCCCUUCAGAGGGGGACAACAGUUGGAAACGACUGCUAAUACCGCAUACUGAAGGAGGGGCAUGCGUCUGAUUAGCUAGUUGGAGGGGAAACGGCCCACCAAGGCGAUGAUCAGUAGCUGGUCUGAGAGGAUGACCGGCCACAUGGGGACUGAGACCCGGCCCAGACUCCGACGGUAUGCAGCAGUUGGGAUUCUUCCGCAAUGGACGAAAGUCUGACGGAGCAACGCCGCGUGAGUGAUGACGGCCUUCGGGUUGUAAAGCUCUGUUAAUCGGGACGCGGUACCGGAAUAGAAAGCCACGGCUAACUACGUGCCAGCAGCCGCGGUAAUUC